UGGGGGGCACUUGCUGACUCUGAGGGUGGGCAAGCUUUGAAGCAGGCACCUAGAGACGCUGUGCACUCUUCAUCCUCGGAAAAGUUCAAACGCAGGUUAGACAGACACUUGACUGGGGUGGUUUAGUCAGAGAUGAUCCUGCUUUGAGCAGGGGGCUGGACUAGAUGUGACAUCAUGAGGUCCCUUCCAGCCCAAUUUUCCUAAGAUUCCUCAGGCUAUCAGAGGAUAACAAAAAACCAUUGCAUUGGAUUAUUUGUUGAUAUUUUGGGGGUGUUUAAUCUUAUUAAAGUGUAACUGCUACACAGCAAGCCUGGUUCAUUGAUGGGAGGUCAAUUAGGACAUGCAAGGAAAUUAAGAAAUAUUAAUAAGAAAUAGCCACCUCCCAAUGCAAUGCUUUGACAUUCCUCCUUACAGUUCUUCCUGCCUCUCACCUUUUCCUCUCUGCUAUUAUUGUUCUUUUCAUUCUCUGACAAUGAGGAAAGGGCUUUCAGGGCCUGGCCAUACCUCCCCUAUCCUAUCCGCAUUGCUAGCCCUCAUUUUCAGAGUGUCUUUCUCCACCUUCCAACACAACACCCAAUGCAAACUCAACUUUAUAACUUUUGGUGUCUCAUGAGAAUGGUUGGAUUCUGCCAGAGGAAGAGGCCAUUGUUAUACAAUCAAGUGCAACUGCAACACAGUUUCUAUAGCAAUGGGAAAGCCUGUGACUGUUAUUUCCAUAUAUGGCAAUGGCUGACCAUUGUGAUGCAUCACGGACCUACGUUGAGCUUGACAUGUCAUGUCACAGUCAAUGGACUCUUGAGAUACAGACCAGCUAUGCUUCACCUCAUCACCCAGUGAAGACCAACACCCAAUGACCAAGAGAGGUGACCAAAAGGUGGCAAUCCAGCAGCCAAGACCUUGAAAGGAGAAGAUGGCGAGAUACAGACGAUACCACCGGCAUCGCAGCAGAAGAAGCAUCCACUUUCGGGAGCACGGGAGGCACAGGAGGCAGGGAAGAGGGAGAGCCAGGAGGAGGAGAGGCAGGAGAGGAGGCAGGCGCCACUACCAUUAUAGGAGGCGAGUGUUUUAUUGAUCCAUCAGCUGCAAUUCGGAAACAUACUGCUGUCACGACUGCAUUAGGAUUGCCAUCUCCGGUGCAUGAAACGACCUUGCUUUCUGGGAGCUGAAGGAGCUGUAGCCAACAGCCACCUGGCAAUAAACUGGGUUGGAUGAGUUUUGUCCUGCA